rnacentral:rRNA from 1 species
CACGUAGUUAGCCGGUGCUUAUUCUUCAGGUACCGUCAUUAGCCGGAGAUAUUAGCCCCAGCCGUUUCUUCCCUGACAAAGAGCUUUACAACCCGAAGGCCUUCCUCACUCACGCGGCAUUGCUGGAUCAGGCUUGCGCCCAUUGUCCAAAAUUCCCCACUGCUGCCUCCCGUAGGAGUCUGGGCCGUGUCUCAGUCCCAGUGUGGCUGGUCGUCCUCUCAGACCAGCUACUGAUCGUCGCCUUGGUGAGCCUUUACCUCACCAACUAGCUAAUCAGACAUCGGCCGCUCCAAAAGCAUGAGGUCUUGCGAUCCCCCACUUUCUUCCGUAGAACGUAUGCGGUAUUAGCGUAACUUUCGCUACGUUAUCCCCCACUUCUGGGUACGUUCCGAUGUAUUACUCACCCGUUCGCCACUCGCCGCCAGGUUGCCCCGCGCUGCCGUUCGACUUGCAUGUGUAAAGCAUGCCGCCAGCGUUCAAUCUGAGCCAGGAUCAAACU